UCUGACGAUUUCGGCCAUCAGAAUCCCCCUGUUUUCUUGUAGUGAAAAACCAUAAGAAAGUUCUUUAUAUAGAACCCUUAAACCGUCAUAAGAAAACCUAUUCCUAAUAGUAAAACCCCAAAGAUAAGGAAAUAACAAUAAAACGAAAAUAGCUAAAGAAAAAGAAAGUUGCCGUUAGCUUCUAGGCAUUGGAAUCCUUUGUGAUCAUAAGUGACGCUGCAUCAAAGAGUAUGGUUGUUCUU
rnacentral:lncRNA from 1 species